AUUGAACGCUGGCGGCAGGCUUAACACAUGCAAGUCUAGCGGCAACAGAUCUAGCUUGCUAGAUGCUGACGAGCGGCGGACGGGGGAGUAACGCGUAGGAAUCUACCUGGUAGUGGGGGACAACCUGUGGAAACGCAGGCUAAUACCGCAUAAAGGGUGAAAGUAGGGGAUCUUCGGACCUUAUGCUAUCAGAUGAGCCUGCGUAAGAUUAGCUAGUUGGUAGGGUAAAGGCCUACCAAGGCGACGAUCUUUAGCUGGUCUGAGAGGAUGAUCAGCCACACUGGGACUGAGACACGGCCCAGACUCCUACGGGAGGGAGCAGUGGGGAAGAUUGCACAAUGGAGGAAACUCUGAUGCAGCAAUGCCGCGUGUGUGAAGAAGGCCUUAGGGUUGUAAAGCACUUUCAGACGUGAGGAAAAGUUAAUGGUUAAUAACCAUUGGCCCUGACGUUAACGUCAGAAGAAGCACCGGCUAACUCCGUGCCAGCAGCCGCGGUAAUACGGAGGGUGCAAGCGUUAAUCGGAAUUACUGGGCGUAAAGCGCGCGUAGGCGGUUAGUUAAGUUAGAUGUGAAAGCCCCGGGCUCAACCUGGGAACUGCACCGGAACUGUCAAGCUAGAGUGCAGGAGAGGAAGGUAGAAUUCCCGGUGUAGCGGUGAAAUGCGUAGAGAUCGGGAGGAACAUCAGUGGCGAAGGCGGCUAUCUGGACCAAUACUGACGCUGAGGCUCGAAAGCGUGGGGAGCAAACAGGAUUAGAUACCUUGGUAGUCCACGCCGUAAACGAUGUCGACCAGCCGUUGGGUGCCUAGCGCACUUUGUGGCGAAGUUAACGCGAUAAGUCGGCCGCCUGGGGAGUACGGCCGCAAGGUUAAAACUCAAAUGAAUUGACGGGGGCCCGCACAAGCGGUGGAGCAUGUGGUUUAAUUCGAAGCAACGCGAAGAACCUUACCCGCUCUAGACAUCCACAGAACGCUCAAGAGAUGGAGCGGUGCCUUCGGGAACUGUGAGACAGGUGCUGCAUGGCUGUCGUCAGCUCGUGUUGUGAAAUGUUGGGUUAAGUCCCGUAACGAGCGCAACCCUUGUCCUUAUUUGCCAGCGAGUUAUGUCGGGGACUUUAAGGAGACUGCCGGUGACAAACCGGAGGAAGGUGGGGACGACGUCAAGUCAUCAUGGCCCUUACGAGCGGGGCUACACACGUGCUACAAUGGCCAGGACAAACGGUUGCGACCCCGCGAGGGCAAGCUAAUCUGAGAAACCUGGUCGUAGUCCGGAUCGCAGUCUGCAACUCGACUGCGUGAAGUCGGAAUCGCUAGUAAUCGUGAAUCAGAAUGUCACGGUGAAUACGUUCCCGAGCAU
rnacentral:rRNA from 1 species